CUCAUAACAAAUCGAUCACUCACGGAUCUGGACUUGAGUGUUAAUAAACUGGGAGAUUCAGGAGUGAAACUGGUGUCUGAAGCACUGAAGAACCCAGAGUGUAAAAUACAGAAACUGUGGCUGAGUGGUGUCCGUCUCACAGAUUCUGGUAUCGAGGAUCUCGUCUCAGCUAUCAUUACAAAUCGAUUACUAACGAGGCUGAACCUGGGAUCAAACUGGCUCACAGACCGAUCUGUCCCCGCUCUUCGUCGCCUUAUACUGGCAGUCCCGAGUCUGGAGCGGAUCGUGCUGGUGAAGAAUCGGUUCAGUCAAACCGGGGAGAAGGAACUGAAGUCUCUCCAAGAACCUAGGCCAGGACUGAGCGUGAUAUUUGACUAUCGGAAUAUGUGAAUAUUUUCCCCCGAGAGAUGAGGACAUUUAGGCAGAUUUCCCGGUUUUACCUUGAACGGUCGCCUUUAAUGGCAGCGCUCUGGAAUUAAUUCCAAUAGACUCCGGCUCCAGCCGAACGUGCUCUGACGUCAG